GACGAACGCUGGCGGCGUGCUUAACACAUGCAAGUCGAACGGAAAGGCCCUGCUUGCAGGGUACUCGAGUGGCGAACGGGUGAGUAACACGUGGGUGAUCUGCCCUGCACUUCGGGAUAAGCCUGGGAAACUGGGUCUAAUACCGGAUAGGAGCCAUUUUUAGUGUGAUGGUUGGAAAGUCUUUUCGGUGUAGGAUGAGCUCGCGGCCUAUCAGCUUGUUGGUGGGGUAAUGGCCUACCAAGGCGGCGACGGGUAGCCGGCCUGAGAGGGUGGACGGCCACAGUGGGACUGGGAUACGGCCCAGACUCCUACGGGAGGCAGCAGUGGGGAAUGUUGCACAAUGGGCGCAAGCCUGAUGCAGCGACGCCGCGUGGGGGAUGACGGCCUUCGGGUUGUAAACUCCUUUCGCUAGGGACGAAGCUUUUUGUGACGGUACCUAGAUAAGAAGCACCGGCUAACUACGUG
rnacentral:rRNA from 1 species